AGGAUCACCAGAGGACAAGUACUUAUUGUCUGGACUGACCACUGUGUUGAUUCAAGAUGCAUCAAGACAUUUGAGGUGGAGUUUUCCACUGACCAAAGGAGGUUCAGGAGAAUUAACUCAGAUGACGUCAUUUUUACGUCUUAUGUUUAUUCCCCAGUGGACCAGGAGGUUGGGGGUCUGUACAGAGUCCGAGCUGUGGACUACUGGGGGAGACCCGGGCCAUUCUCGCUGCCGGAGAGGUUUCCAGAAGAACGGUAGUCGACUCACUGCACUUGUACCUUUGGAGAGUGUUGAAGUUAUUUCAUACACAUCAGUCAGCCGACUGAGCUCUACACUGGAAGGCUCACUUGUGAUUGGUUGAGCCUCGACCAAUCACAGACGGA